rnacentral:lncRNA from 1 species
AUGUGGAAAUUAUAUUACCAAUUUAAAAUGAAUUUCAGACGACUUAUAUCAGAUCGUGCAAAUGUAAUAACAAAUGAAAGUAAUAAACCAAGUGAUUGCGACUUAAGUGAUUGCGACUUAAGUGGUGGCGACUUAAGUGGUGGCGAUUUAAGUGGUGGCGACUUAAGUGGUGGCGAAUCAAAUAAAAGCAUAAUAAACAAUACAAAUAUAAACAAUACAAAUAUAAACAAUACAAAUAUGAACAAUACAAAUAUAAACAAUAUAAAUAUAAAUAAUGUAAAUAUAAAUAAUAUAAAUAUAAAUAAUAUAAAUAUAAAUAAUGUAAAUAGUAAAAAAACAAAAAAACAAAUUAAAGAACAAAAAAAUACUUAUUGUUAUAACAUUUUUACAUAUACACAUGACUGGAAUGUUAAAACUAAUAUUAUGAAUAUUUAUUUAAGUGAUUUGAUAGUUAAACAGUUUAUAACUGAUGAAAUUGACAUUGUCCAAGUAGUAAAAUAUUUAGAUUCUAAUUUGACUAAUAUACCUUUACACGUGUUUAACAAAAUUAUUGUUUUCAUUCUGCGUGCAAGCGAUCCAUAUGGCAGUCAACGUAUAUUAAGUGGGACCACAAGAAGUGACGGGCGAUUAAAAAGGUUAGAUAAAAAUGAGUCGGACGAAACUACGUCGGAUGGCACUAAUUCGGAUGGCACUGACUCGGGAGCCAUUAUCUCAGACGACACUAAUUUAGACGACAUUAACUCCGAGUCAUGUUUAAGUGCAAAUUCUACUACUAACUCACGUUCAAACUCGACUACACAUUCGAAGGUACUACUCACCAUUUAUAAAAAAAUUAUCAGUCACUACAAAAAAAUAAUGAAAGAAUUGCUAAUUAAAAACAAAACCAGCUCAAAAAAUGUUACUUCAUUCGCCUACAUCUUAAAAAUCAUUAUUUUGCUUCUUAUAACAAAUCAUAGAAAUAGUAAAAUUUGUAAAAAAAUAUAUAAAAAUAAAUAUUUCUUUUUGUGUCAUAUAUAUGCAUUUUUUUUUAUAAUGAUGAAAUUAUUAAAGCUUUGGCCAUAAGUUUAAGUUUUUAUCUAAUUUUUGAUCAAAAUAUAUUAUUACUAAAUAAAUACAGAUUGUUUUUAGAACCA